rnacentral:rRNA from 1 species
AACUGCGAAUGGCUCAUUAAAUCAGUUAUCGUUUAUUUGAUAGUACCUUACUACUUGGAUAACCGUGGUAAUUCUAGAGCUAAUACAUGCUAAAAACCCCAACUUCGGGAGGGGUGUAUUUAUUAGAUAAAAAACCAAUGCCCUUCGGGGCUCCUUGGUGAUUCAUAAUAACUUCUCAGAUCGCAUGGCCUUGCGCCGGCGACGGUUCAUUCAAAUUUCUGCCCUAUCAACUUUCGAUGGUAAGGUAUUGGCUUACCAUGGUUUCAACGGGUAACGGGGAAUUAGGGUUCGAUUCCGGAGAGGGAGCCUGAGAAACGGCUACCACAUCCAAGGAAGGCAGCAGGCGCGCAAAUUACCCAAUCCCGACACGGGGAGGUAGUGACAAUAAAUACUGAUACAGGGCUCUUUAGGGUCUUGUAAUUGGAAUGAGUACAAUUUAAACCUCUUAACGAGGAACAAUUGGAGGGCAAGUCUGGUGCCAGCAGCCGCGGUAAUUCCAGCUCCAAUAGCGUAUAUUAAAGUUGUUGCAGUUAAAAAGCUCGUAGUUGAACCUUUGGCCUGGCUGGCGGGUCCGCCUCACCGCGUGCACUCGUCCGGCCGGGCCUUUUCUUCUGGAGAACCGCAUGCCCUUCACUGGGUGUGUUGGGGACCAGGACUUUUACUUUGAAAAAAUUAGAGUGUUCAAAGCAGGCCUUUGCUCGAAUACGUUAGCAUGGAAUAAUAGAAUAGGACGUGCGGUCCUAUUUUGUUGGUUUCUAGGACCGCCGUAAUGAUUAAUAGGGACAGUCGGGGGCAUCAGUAUUCAAUUGUCAGAGGUGAAAUUCUUGGAUUUAUUGAAGACUAACUACUGCGAAAGCAUUUGCCAAGGAUGUUUUCAUUAAUCAGUGAACGAAAGUUAGGGGAUCGAAGACGAUCAGAUACCGUCGUAGUCUUAACCAUAAACUAUGCCGACUAGGGAUCGGGCGGUGUUACUAUUUUGACCCGCUCGGCACCUUACGAGAAAUCAAAG